rnacentral:lncRNA from 1 species
AGCUGGAUGAAUGCACAAUUCUUUCCUUCCAGAGCAGGGGUGGCCUGACACCUUUAAAUGUGGACUUGAUGUUUUGGUCAGUUUAUGCCAUUUUUGAUCCCUAUAAAUUCAAUUUUUACUCCAUAUGAACCACCCAGGGCUUAGGAAUGGCAUUCCUUAAAUGUAACCAAGCAUCUGGAGCAUGACAUCCUGAUGAAAAAAAUUAUGUGCUCACUGAUUAGCAACUGCUUAAUGAUGGAAUUUGUUUCUUCUGUGGUUUAGAAGUCUAGUUGGACUGCAAACUCCAACUUGGUAUGGUUGAUGACAAAUUACCCAUGCUGCAGAAGCCAAUGAAAGUGCCAUUUCUGCCACAAAAAUUCACCAUGAAGUAAUCUGCACAGUUUCUGCUACCUCCAGAGGAACCUGAGCUCCAAGAGCUGAAGCUGCUCGAUUCAAGGGAAACAGAUGAAGUAGUUAAAAGAUUCCUCAUCACAUUACUACACCUGUCUUUGCAAGUGAGUCAUUUUUCUUCUUCAAAUAGCAUCCCCAGGGGACAUUUAAUUCUGAAUGAUUUUCUCAUUAAAAAUAUGGUUCUACUCAUGAGAAACAGAAUGUCCUAGUAAAAUAGGGCAUGUCAGGGCCAGAGAUUUAUGGGUUCAACACCACGAUUGAAAUCUUGAUUACUGAA